GCCCCUAAAGAAUAAUAGUUAUCCACUGGCCUUAGGUGCCAGAAACUCUUGGUGCAACCCCAAGUAGAGGCU
rnacentral:tRNA from 1 species